AACGAACGCUGGCGGCAUGCCUAACACAUGCAAGUCGAACGAGACCUUCGGGUCUAGUGGCGCACGGGUGCGUAACGCGUGGGAAUCUGCCCUUGGGUUCGGAAUAACUUCGGGAAACUGAAGCUAAUACCGGAUGAUGACGUAAGUCCAAAGAUUUAUCGCCCAAGGAUGAGCCCGCGCAGGAUUAGCUAGUUGGUGAGGUAAAGGCUCACCAAGGCGACGAUCCUUAGCUGGUCUGAGAGGAUGAUCAGCCACACUGGGACUGAGACACGGCCCAGACUCCUACGGGAGGCAGCAGUGGGGAAUAUUGGACAAUGGGCGAAAGCCUGAUCCAGCAAUGCCGCGUGAGUGAUGAAGGCCUUAGGGUUGUAAAGCUCUUUUACCCGGGAUGAUAAUGACAGUACCGGGAGAAUAAGCUCCGGCUAACUCCGUGCCAGCAGCCGCGGUAAU
rnacentral:rRNA from 1 species